UAACGUUGAGAGCGAGAUUCUGAGUGUUUGUGCUCUGAUGUGUUCUCUUUAUCCCGGAAAACAUGUUCACAAAUGACAAAGACAGAGGAUUAAGCGACUCAUAAGAUUGAAAUCUCCUACUGAGUUCUAAUUUUGGCUGGUUAAGUUACUUGGCGGAGAAAGAUUCUUCUAUAUAUUGAUCAUACUUUUUCCGGCUCUCCCA